UCUUCAUGUUUCACUCUCUGUAGUGAGGAUGCUAUGGCCCACCUACUGUUCCUUUGGCGACUCUGCUGUGCAGAAAAGUGAAACAAAGGUUUGAUACUAGAGCUUGCAAAGUGGUCUGAAGGAUUUGCUUGAGGACAUCAACACUGGAAUCCCAGUCUGAAUCCAUGACUGAGAUAUAACCCCCACAAUUUAAUGAACUGCCAGGAUCUGCGUCGGUACUUCAAACACUGGAGAAUAAGAAGAGAACACAAAAGCUCUGCUUUCUGAAUUGUGAUUGGUCCUUGGCCACUGCUGUGGUAGAUAAGCGUAACAGAAGAUUCUUCCUGGUAUGUCUGUUCUCUGUUGUAAUUUCCAGAUAAGGAGUUAUUCCAAUGCUAUCUGUCUUUCGGCAAGGAUUCCUCAUGCGUAAAUCAAGAACAAAAAGUAAG
ensembl:lncRNA